AGUGAACGCUGGCGGUAGGCCUAACACAUGCAAGUCGAACGGCAGCACAGAGGAGCUUGCUCCUUGGGUGGCGAGUGGCGGACGGGUGAGGAAUACAUCGGAAUCUACUCUGUCGUGGGGGAUAACGUAGGGAAACUUACGCUAAUACCGCAUACGACCUACGGGUGAAAGCAGGGGAUCUUCGGACCUUGCGCGAUUGAAUGAGCCGAUGUCGGAUUAGCUAGUUGGCGGGGUAAGGGCCACCAAGGCGACGAUCCGUAGCUGGUCUGAGAGGAUGAUCAGCCACACUGGAACUGAGACACGGUCCAGACUCCUACGGGAGGCAGCAGUGGGGAAUAUUGGACAAUGGGCGCAAGCCUGAUCCAGCCAUACCGCGUGGGUGAAGAAGGCCUUCGGGUUGUAAAGCCCUUUUGUUGGGAAAGAAAUCCAUCUGGUUAAUACCCGGGUGGGAUGACGGUACCCAAAGAAUAAGCACCGGCUAACUUCGUGCCAGCCGCCGCUGUAA
rnacentral:rRNA from 1 species